GAUGAACGCUGGCGGCGUGCCUAAUACAUGCAAGUCGAACGAACAGACCUGCUUCUUGCUCCUCUUACCUUAUCCUCGGACGGGUGAGUAACACGUAGCUAACCUAUCUUUAAGACUCGGCUUACUUCUGAACCUCGGAGCUAAUACCUGAUUAUCUAUUGAACCGCAUGGUUCUAUCUUGAAUGGCGGUUUUUCUUUUACUUAUUGAUGGAUACGCGCCGCAUUAGCUGGUUGGUAAUGUGACGGCUUACCAACGCAACGAUGCGUAGCCGACGUGAGAGGGUGAGCGGCGACAGUGGAACUGAGACACGGUCCAGACUCCUACGGGAAGCAGCAGUAGGGGAGGUUACGAGAGGGGCGAAAGCGUGACGGAGCAACGCCGAGUGAGUGAGGAAGAUCUUGGGAUCGGAAAAGUCUGUUAUUAGGGAAGAACAAAUGGGUAAGUAGCUAGGAAGGUCGUGACGGUAGCGAAAGAGAAAGCAACGGCUAACUACGUG
rnacentral:rRNA from 1 species